GUAGUUGGAUCUUGGGAGCGGGCGGGCGGUCCGCCGCGAGGCGGCUCAGCGCCCUGUCCCCAGCCCCUGCCUCUCGGCGCCCCCUCGAUGCUCUUAGCUGAGUGUCCCGCGGGGCCCGAAGCGUUUACUUUGAAAAAAUUAGAGUGUUCAAAGCAGGCCCGAGCCGCCUGGAUACCGCAGCUAGGGAAUAAUGGAAUAGGACCGCGGUUCUAUUUUGUUGGUUUUCGGAACUGAGGCCA
rnacentral:rRNA from 1 species